ACGGGUGAGUAAUGUCUGGGAAACUGCCUGAUGGAGGGGGAUAACUACUGGAAACGGUAGCUAAUACCGCAUAAUGUCGCAAGACCAAAGAGGGGGACCUUCGGGCCUCUUGCCAUCGGAUGUGCCCAGAUGGGAUUAGCUAGUAGGUGGGGUAACGGCUCACCUAGGCGACGAUCCCUAGCUGGUCUGAGAGGAUGAUCAGCCACACUGGGACUGAGACACGGCCCAGACUCCUACGGGAGGCAGCAUG
rnacentral:rRNA from 1 species